rnacentral:piRNA from 1 species
UGUCUCUGAUAUGGUGGCAUAAA